rnacentral:lncRNA from 1 species
ACUCUGGAUUGGCAGCCAGGGCCAUGAGCUCGUUUUGUCAACAACCCUCCCCCUCUUUUUGCUCUUUCCUGGCUGUGUGGUGGACUCUUCAGGGACACAGCAGUCACUGCGCUGCAGGGACAGUCCCCAAGUGCCAAGGCACAGCCUAAAGGGGCCUGUUCCCACCAUGGCAUCCGUGACAAGAACCAGGAGCCAGAAUGCAGGUUUCUGGGACUUGUCAGCUCCCUUCUGAGUGCCCUGUUGAGGAUUCCUAGAAGUCCAGACACCUCACCCCCCUAACCUGGAUGGACCACGCAGAGCCAAUAGGAAUACUUUUCUGUGGACGUGCCAUGUUGGAAUCCCAGAUCUCCCUGCCCUGCCAGCCCCUGCCAGCUUCCUGGGGACCCAACUGACCCUGAAGAAAGCCUCUGAUGGGCCUAGAACAGAGAAGGUGACCCAGGACCUUGCCCAGCCUUUCUGGACAACUGGAAGACAGUUACGCUUCGUCCUCCACCUCUCCCUCCAACGUGAGUAUCCGAGUCACAGGGGCCUAGUGCUGGCCUCCUCUGU